CAAGUCAUUUCUGCUUAACUGAUGCAACACAGAUGAUGCCAUGCUUCCUGAGACUGAAAGGUUUGCUAAGGAAAUUGCCUCUAAAAUUAUGGCAAGUAUAAAAUAAAGGACUAUUAGAGGAGAUACCACCUUAGCUGCUGUACCUAGGGAUACUGAUAAAGGAUAUAUCACAACACUCAUUCAUAACUGAAAGGAUAUUAAAAUCCAAAUAAAGCAAAAGACCAAAGAUAACUUAAGCCAUACCCCAAAAAGCUAAUUAACUAAUAAGUUAUUUUACUGUUUAACAGAAUGAAGAGAUUAAUGGUAGACAACUCUUUAGCUGGAAUAUUGGAAAGACUUACACAAUGAAAGCAAUAAGUGACAUAGAUCUUGCUAAAAAUCAAUAAAGCAAGUAAAGCCAGUUGGCACACUAUUUAACGUGAAUCAAUGUGAAUGAUAUCUCAUCAAACUUGAGGUGUCAUUCAAGAAGGAAUACUUGCUAUUUCUGUCUCCUAAAUUUCCAAGAAGACAUUACAAGUGUCUAAAAUGAGCACACUCUUAGGUGACCCUGAUAGAAGUGCAUUUUAUAUUUACUUGUGAAACGUGCCCCAAAAGUUAAAGAAACCAAUAACUCAUAUAAAUUCUUGGGUUUGCAGGAUGUCAGAUUAAAAACAAGAAACAGCUUCCUGAAACACUAAAACUCCCUCCACUUGUAAGACAACAAAACUGGCUGAAAUCUUUUCGAACCGAUACGGCCAGCUGGAGUUUGCACAGAACAAGCUUGCUGAUGUCACAGCCUGGAUUUCCACUGCACGUUUUAUAUUAACUCCUCCCCAAAUUUGCACAUGGGACCUAUAAGGAAGCACAAAGGGAUGACUGUGCGUGCCUGAGGGUCUUUCAGACCUCUCCUUUCCUCCCACCAAUUACCUGCUAAUCUCAGAAUCCACCCUCUUAAACCUUUUCUAGUAAAAGUAUUGCCUUAAAACCAGCACAGAGAGAUGGAUCUGAGCUUGACUCAUAUCUCCUUUGAGCCAUCAACCUAAUAACAAGAGAGAGCAACAAGGCCUGGGGUCCCUUUGCUGGAGCACAGUCCCAAGGUGCAUCCGUCUGUGACCCAGGGAAACACCUCGAAGAGAAAAGUAGCUAUCUUCAAGCGACUAAAACUGAAGUAUAAUAAGAGAACCAUGUGAUUCAAGCAAGUCCACAACAGAGCCAACAGAGUCUGCUUUCAAAGGAAUCUGCAAAUUGAAGGAUACAAAC
rnacentral:lncRNA from 1 species